UAACGAGGGUCAUGAAAGGGACGUAAAAGGCGAGCCCUAGUGGUUCGGGUGCCUAGCCGGCCCCGUUCCGCGACACUGUCAAAUUGCGGGAAGUUCCUAAAGCCUUCUGUCACCGCGGCCCGCCGAAAGGUAGGGUGCAGCACCGGGGUAAUGACCUAGGGUAUGGUAAAAGCACAGAGGAUGUAACAAUGGAUAAUCCGCAGCCAAGCGCUAAGGGCCUCACGGCGGAGCCGUGCCGGGCCUAUGCGUGCAGUUCAACGACUAAAUGGCAGUGGGUCUACGCGAGCGCGUAGGCUUAAGAUAUAGUCUGGGACCCGCCGAGA
rnacentral:ncRNA from 1 species